GCCCGGAUGGCGGAAUUGGUAGACGCAGCAGACUCAAAAUCUGCCGCCCGCAAGGGUGUGGGGGUUCGAGUCCCCCUCUGGGCA
rnacentral:tRNA from 1 species